AGCAGCCGCGGUAAUUCCAGCUCCAAUAGCGUAUAUUAAAGUUGUUGCAGUUAAAAAGCUCGUAGUUGAAUUUCGGGAUCAAUACGUCGGUCGUGCUUUCGGGUACGUACUGGCGUCAUUGGUUUCUCCUUUCUGACGAACCAUGAUGUCAUUAAUUUGGUGUUAUGGGGAGUUAGGACUGUUACUUUGAAAAAAUUAGAGUGUUUAAAGCAAGCUAACGCUUGAAUACAUUAGCAUGGAAUAAUGAAAUAGGACGUUCGAUCCUAUUUUGUUGGUUUCUAGGAUUGACGUAAUGAUUAAUAGGGAUAGUUGGGGGCAUUAGUAUUCAAUUGUCAGAGGUGAAAUUCUUGGAUUUAUUGAAGACUAACUACUGCGAAAGCAUUUGCCAAGGAUGUUUUCAUUAAUCAAGAACGAAAGUUAGGGGAUCGAAGACGAUCAGAUACCGUCGUAGUCUUAACCAUAAACUAUGCCGACUAGGGAUCGGAUGAUGUUAAUUUUUUAAUGACUCAUUCGGCGCCUUACG
rnacentral:rRNA from 1 species